rnacentral:rRNA from 1 species
UACGUAGGGGGCAAGCGUUGUCCGGAAUCAUUGGGCGUAAAGGGCUCGUAGGCGGUCUGUCACGUCGGGAGUGAAAACUCAGGGCUUAACCCUGAGCCUGCUUCCGAUACGGGCAGACUAGAGGUAUGCAGGGGAGAACGGAAUUCCUGGUGUAGCGGUGAAAUGCGCAGAUAUCUGGAGGAACACCGGUGGCGAAGGCGGCAUCCUGGACCGGCAUUGACGCUGAGGCGCGGAAAGCCCAGGGGAGCAAAGCAGGG